AUGCUAAGCUCCGGAAAGUGCACUGAAGAAAAACUCCUAUUCCAAGGACUGCGCUCAGGUGACAUUCCAGUUGCUGGUGACAGCCACAUCCCAAGGAAAAAGCACCCUGGAAGGGGACACUCUGCACCGACAUUUCUUCUGAUAGUUCCCAACGGAAAGGACGCACAUCAUCAUUGGCUCUUCCGAAAAGGAACGGAUUUAACAAGAACCUAAGGCUAAUUUGCCCAUUAAAGGAACAAAGAGUGGAGUAGGGGAGGAGACUGACAGAAAUACUGCAUCUGUAAAUACCUUGCCCAAGAGCUCAGAAGUCAGCUCUGGGCAGAGGGGAGUCCAGGGUCCUUGAUAAUAUUUCACUCAUCACAACUACUCCCUUUCUGUUCUGAUUUUCCCUCUUGCUUUUCUGCCACUAAAAGGGGGCCAGAAGGAGAACAUGAUCCUUAGCGAGCAAGUUGAUGGGAGCGACUGUCUAAAAUGAUGUCGGAUCUAUAAACACAUUUUCUUCAUUGCCAACAGUAUGCAAAUGCUGCUGUUCUAAUUCAGCAGGAACAUGAAACAGGUACUCUUCUCCCGUCAGAGGAGACAGACUGCAGCGCUCCUCAGAUCCAUGAAGUUACUGAAUAAGACCACGAAUAGCUUUCUCCUUUCAAGUCUCUGUUUUUGCAAAGACUGAAUUGGAAUGAUUUCUCUGUAGUCAGAGUGCAUCCACCCCUCCACCCCCAACAACUUUCCCUUGCCUCUUCCUACUUACUGAUGGGGAAUUUAAUUUGUUCACAAAAUUCUUUGGCUCACUUUGCUUUCCUUUCACUUCCUUUAAUCAACUCCUAAGUAUUGACUGCUAAGCAAACUUAAAAAAAAAAAAAAGGGACCCAUGGCUUUUGCUUUCCUUUCAUAUGGACCAUAUGGACGGUAUUGUCUCUUUCCCAGGGUCUCCCACAAACUUGGGGGACUUUGUGGAUUAAAUCAGGUCUCAAUUAGGUGGUCAAGUGUAAUCACGGACGUCAGCCAACCUACCAGAAAUUAAUAGACAAUCAACACAGAUAAACCGGCUAGCAUCUUUCAAGUGUAAGGUCUAGGCUGCAGGCAUAACCCACGUCCACUCUGCAGCCUGUGCCAUCUUAGCUCCCAUGCUGAGGUGGAGCCCCAGCCAGGACCCAUUUCUCUGAAGAGCUGUGGUCCUAAUUUUCCCUGACCCCUCAUGGCUCUGUCAGCCGGACCCCAGCAAUGAAAUGAUCCAUAAGAAAACAAAGUCCACGUGAUUAGGGCCUGUUUGAUCUUAACCCCACACCACCCCUAGAUUUCAGCUGUCUAACACUGGCUCCAGACAAGAGGAGCAGAGUUUUCUUGUGAAAAUAAAUCAGACAAG
rnacentral:lncRNA from 9 species